UGCCCAGCAACUCCUAUCCCUACCUCCUCGCGGUACUGGCCGGGGUACGAGUAAUCUUAGGGAAGAUCGGGUAACCAACCCCCGGUGGGAACUUUGGUCGUAUGCUGACAGGGAAGG
rnacentral:ribozyme from 1 species